rnacentral:rRNA from 1 species
AAUCAACGCUGGCGGCGUGCCUAACACAUGCAAGUCGCACGAGAAAGGGACUUCGGUCCUGAGUACAGUGGCGCACGGGUGAGUAACACGUGAAUAAUCUACCUUCGAGUGGGGAAGUAACUGAGAGAAAUACUUAGCUAAUACCGCAUAAUACCUACGGGUCAAAGCAGCAAUGCGCUUGAAGAGGAGUUCGCGGCAGAUUAGUUAGUUGGCAGGGUAAUGGCCACCAAAGACGAUGAUCUGUAUCCGGCCUGAGAGGGCGGCACGGACACACUGGAACUGAAACAACGGUCCAGACUCCUACGGGAGGGCAGCAGUGGGGAAGUUUU